GAAAGAAGGAAAGAGAAAGAGAGAAAGAGAGAAAGAGAGAGAGAAUUUGGGAAGCUUUCAAAACACUACUUCGGCGAAGGAUCCAAUGCAGCAAAUAUACACCUCUCAACACAUCAUCUCUCUCUCUCUCUCUCUCUCUCUCUCUCUCUCUCUCUCUCU
rnacentral:miRNA from 1 species